AAAAUGAGGCAAAGCAGUCAUGCUGCUGGUGGGACAUACCCCACCGAGGAGAUGUAAUGAGCUAACUACAGAAACAGGCAGGAGACGGGUGGCUUUAGUUAUUAUUUGGCACUGUCUACCUGUCUCUUCUCGAUUUAUAUUCUAAUUAAUAUUUUUAUUAAUGAAGUAAUCUGUUCUUAUUACCAGAUACUGAGGUACUUUUUCAUGCAGGAAAUAGGAAAUGCAGCUUUCACAUUUAAUGAAAUACUAGUUGCUUGCUAGCUAAAUACAGAAAGUAACUUGCCCUGGCCCAAAGUAGGCAGCCCWUCUGGUGGCAGUUUUACACAGAUGUAGUAAGAGCCUGUUUUCUCUGUUGCUUUGUAUUUUAUUCUUAACAUAGGGAUAUAGAACAAAGAAAUGAGUUGGUGAUACAGAAAAACAUGCAAUAGAAACAGUGCACCUUAAUGCCUACAGAACUGUCUUAAGCUAAUCUGAAGAAGCAUAAAGUUGCUCGUUUACCUGUUCUUUGUGUUGUAGGUGCAGCUCAAAAGAAGACGACGACUACCAGAAGACAUGAACAAAGGGUAAGUGGCAUUAUACAUCUGAAGAACCUUUAUGUAUAUAUUGAUCCCUACACAGAAGGCAAACC